rnacentral:rRNA from 1 species
UACGGAGGAUGCAAGCGUUAUCCGGAAUGACUGGGCGUAAAGCGUCCGCAGGUGGCAAUGUAAGUCUGCUGUUAAAGAGUCUAGCUCAACUAGAUAAAAGCAGUGGAAACUACAUAGCUAGAGUACGUUCGGGGCAGAGGGAAUUCCUGGUGUAGCGGUGAAAUGCGUAGAGAUCAGGAAGAACACCGGUGGCGAAGGCGCUCUGCUAGGCCGUAACUGACGCUGAGGAGCGAAAGCGUGGGGAGCGAACAGG